rfam:Triticum aestivum genome assembly, contig: Triticum_aestivum_CS42_TGACv1_scaffold_477537_6AL
AACUUACUCCUUUUGUCCCAAAAUUCUUGUCUUAGACUUGUCUAAAUACUGAUGUAUCUAGUUACGUUUUAGUGUUGGAUACAUCCGUAUCUACACAAAUUUAAGACAAGAAUUUUGAGACAGAGGGAUUAAUAU